CCUGCACCUGCUUACGGAAGCUGUCAGAGUACAGCACCUGAGCAACAGGAGAGAACCGCACAAACAAGACGUCAGAGACAGCACCAGGGAGAUCCGGUAUGGAUGUACCUUGCCCCAGAGAGUCUUUGUACUUUGUCUACAGCACCAAUCAGUUCAGCACAAAUUAAAAAGGCAACAGGAGAAAUCAUCAACAUGACAGGGAGAUCCGGUAUGGAUGUACCUUGCCCCAGAGAGUCUUUGUACUUUGUCUACAGCACCAAUCAGUUCAGCACAAAUUAAAAAGGCAACAGGAGAAAUCAUUAACAUGACAGAUCCUUUCUGUACUCUUUCUACAUGGCGGAGAAGAACAAGAGAGACUGCAGAGAGACAUACAGCAGGACACA